AGAAAUUUACGCUAAUACCGCAUACGAUCUAAGGAUGAAAGCGGGGGAUCGCAAGACCUCGCGCAAUUGGAGCGGCUGAUAUCAGAUUAGCUUGUUGGUGAGGUAAAAGCUCACCAAGGCGACGAUCUGUAGCUGGUUUGAGAGAACGACCAGCCACACUGGGACUGAGACACGGCCCAGACUCCUACGGGAGGCAGCAGUGGGGAAUUUUGGACAAUGGGCGAAAGCCUGAUCCAGCAAUGCCGCGUGUGGGAAGAAGGCCUUCGGGUUGUAAACCACUUUUGUACG
rnacentral:rRNA from 1 species